CCCGGCGCGGCGGUGGUUUACGGCUCGGGGUGGGACUAUGGCUGCGGCAGCUGAUUGGCUGCGGUGGGGGUCAGUCCCUGCCCAGUGACCCCGGAGUGAGGAGGGGGGCAGCUCAGUCAGUGCAAAGUGUCCCCACAACGCCCCCGCCUGGCUCUGCGGCUCCCCCCACCCCUGAGCCGGUGCCAGUGGGGGGAGCGGCCACCGGUCCGGUCCCGUCCCGUCCGCCUCAGGAGGAGACAGGCUCAGGCUGCCUCAGGGGAGACUUGCAAGCUGUGAAUCCAAAGGAGAAGAUACAGACAGUAAGAAUAAGUGAAAGUAGUACUCAGUAUAAAGGUGAUAAUCCACCUUCACUCUUAUCUCAUAUCCCAGGCCAUCACUGCACGUCCACCCUUGUCUGGAUGCUCGUGGAACCCUUUCUUGUUGGUUCUAGUGACUCAUUUAUGGGUAGCAGCUUGUUUGAAAUGUUAUAUGGGCACACAAGAUUAUGUAUAACGAGGAACAUGAAGAGUAGAACACACAUCAAAAACAGCGACAGCUUCCUGUAAGGUGAAUAGUGUGACUGCAUGACACUUUUGU
rnacentral:lncRNA from 1 species